UGGGGAAUAUUGGACAAUGGGCGAAAGCCUGAUCCAGCCAUGCCGCGUGAGUGACGAAGGCCUUAGGGUUGUAAAAUCCUUUCGUUGGGGACGAUAAUGACGGUACCCAAAGAAGAAGCUCCGGCUAACUUCGUGCCAGCAGCCGCGGUAAUACGAAGGGGGCUAGCGUUGUUCGGAUUUACUGGGCGUAAAGCGCACGUAGGCGGAUCAGCAAGUCAGGGGUGAAAUCCCGGGGCUCAACCUCGGAACUGCAUUUGUGACUGCAAGGCUAGAGUACGGUAGAGGGGGAUGGAAUUCCGCGUGUAGCAGUGAAAUGCGUAGAUAUGCGGAGGAACACCGAUGGCGAAGGCAAUCCCCUGGACCUGUACUGACGCUCAUGCACGAAAGCGUGGGGAGCAAACAGGGUUAGAUACCCCCGUAGUCCCUGAGCGGGCUGGCAAGGCGCAU
rnacentral:rRNA from 1 species